rnacentral:rRNA from 1 species
UUAAGCAAAGAAGAGCGCAGGGUGGAUGCCUUGGCACUAAGAGCCGAAGAAAGACGUGAUAAGCUGCGAAAAGCUGCGGGGAGAUGCAAAUAAUCCUUGAUCCGCAGAUGUCUGAAUGGGGAAACCCGGUACGAAGAACUCGUAUCAUCCAUACGCCAAUCCAUAACGUAUGGAGGGGAACCCGGUGAACUGAAACAUCUAAGUAGCCGGAGGAAGAGAAAGAAACAUCGAUUUUGUUAGUAGCGGCGAGCGAAAGCGAAAGAGGCCAAACCGGAGUGCGUGCACUCCGGGGUUCGGACCGCAUUUAAGAUUCAGUGAUUCUAGCAGAAAGGUUUGGGAAAGCCUGCCGGAGAGGGUGAAAGCCCCGUAAGCGAAAGGAGAGCUGACUGAGCGGAAUCCAGAGUACAUCGAGACACGAGAAACCUUGAUGGAAUGAGCGGGGACCACCCCGUAAGCCUAAAUACUACUUAGUGACCGAUAGCGCAUAGUACUGUGAAGGAAAGGUGAAAAGGACCCCGGGAGGGGAGUGAAAGAGAACCUGAAACCCUGUGUUUACAAGCUGUGGAAGUUCUUUAAAUGAACAACCGCGUACUUUUUGUAGAACGGUCCGGCGAGUUGCGGACACUGGCAAGGUUAAGCACUUAAGGUGCGGAGCCGAAGGGAUACCAAGUCUUAACAGGGCGUUAAGUCAGUGUACGCAGACCCGAAACCGGGUGAUCUAUCCAUGUCCAGGUUGAAGUUGUCGUAAAAGACAAUGGAGGACCGAAGCCACAUCCGUUGAAAAGGGUGGGCAUGAGGUGUGGAUAGGGGAGAAAUUCCAAUCGAACCCGGAGAUAGCUGGUUCUCCUCGAAAUAGCUUUAGGGCUAGCCUCGAUUUAGUCUUAUGGAGGUAGAGCACUGAAUUUCCGCGGGGGCGUCAAAGCUUACCAAAGAAUAUCAAACUCCGAAUGCCAUGUAGAUGAUGAUCGGGAGUCAGACUGCACGAGAUAAGUUGGGCAGUCAAAAGGGAAAGAGCCCAGACCACCGGCUAAGGUCCCAAAGUGCGUGUUAAGUGGAAAAGGAUGUGGGAAUUCGAAGACAACUAGGAUGUUGGCUCAGAAGCAGCCAUACAUUCAAAGAGUGCGUAACAGCUCACUAGUCGAGAGUUCCUGCGCCGAAAAUGUCCGGGGCUGAAACACGACACCGAAGCCGUGGACUCGCAAUGCGAGUGGUAGAGGAGCAUUCUUAAAACCGACGAAGCUGUACCGAAAGGAGCAGUGGAGGGAUAAGAAGAGAGAAUGCCGGAAUGAGUAGCGAGAGAAAGGUGGGAAUCCUUUCGGCCGAAUAUCUAAGGUUUCCAGAGUAAAGCUGAUCUGCUCUGGGUAAGUCGGGGCCUAAGCACAGGUCGCAAGACGUAAGCGAUGGAUAACAGGUUUAGAUUCCUGUACCACGCAUUAUCAGAACUGUAGGGACGCAUGUGGAAAGCACGAGCCGGGAAUGGAAAGACCGGUACAAGCGGGGUAGGUGUACAAUAGGCAAAUCCGUUGUAUAAUCCGAAGACGUGAUGUGGAGCGAAAUAAAGUAGUGAAGCGUGUGAGCCAUGUGCCGAGAAAAGCUGCUAUUGUGUAAUGCGUGCCCGUACCGUAAACCGACACAGGUGGAUGAGGAGAGAAUCCUAAGGCCGACGGAAGAAGCAUUGUUAAGGAAUUCGGCAAAAUGACCCCGUAACUUCGGGAGAAGGGGUGCCUGCGAGAGCAGGCCGCAGAGAAUAGGCUCAAGCAACUGUUUAGCAAAAACACAGGUCUAUGCGAAACCGAAAGGUGAAGUAUAUGGGCUGACGCCUGCCCGGUGCUGGAAGGUUAAGAGGAGAGGUUAGCGUAAGCGAAGCUUUGAAUUUAAGCCCCAGUAAACGGCGGCCGUAACUAUAACGGUCCUAAGGUAGCGAAAUUCCUUGUCGGGUAAGUUCCGACCCGCACGAAAGGCGUAAUGAUUUGAGCACUGUCUCGACAAUGCAUCCG